CCUACGGGAGGCAGCAGUCGAGAAUCAUUCACAAUGGGGGAAACCCUGAUGGUGCGACGCCGCGUGGGGGAAUGAAGGUCUUCGGAUUGUAAACCCCUGUCAUGUGGGAGCAAAUUAAAAAGAUAGUACCACAAGAGGAAGAGACGGCUAACUCUGUGCCAGCAGCCGCGGUAAUACAGAGGUCUCAAGCGUUGUUCGGAAUCACUGGGCGUAAAGCGUGCGGAGGCUGUUUCGUAAGUCGUGUGUGAAAGGCCCAGGCUCAACCCGCGGACGGCACAUGAUACAGCGAGACUAGAGUGAUGGAGGGGGAACCGGAAUGCACGGUGUAGCAGUGAAAUGCGUAGAGAUCG
rnacentral:rRNA from 1 species